UACGGAGGGGGCGAGCGUUAUUCGGAAUUAUUGGGCGUAAAGGGCGCGUAGGCGGCCCGAUAAGUCAAAGGUGAAAUCCCUCGGCUCAACUGAGGAACUGCCUUUGAAACCGUCGGGCUUGAGUCCGGGAGGGGGUAGCGGAAUUCCCAGUGUAGCGGUGAAAUGCGUAGAUAUUCGCAAGAACACCAGUGGCGAAGGCGGCUCACUGGCCCGGUACUGACGCUGAGGUGCGAAAGCGUGGGGAGCAAACAGG
rnacentral:rRNA from 1 species